UCAGUUUCUCUGAAGACUCCAUGGAUGGAUACCAGAUUUAUUUAUCUUCUGAGAAGAUUAAAUGCUUCAAAUCUUUGAUUGCAUUGAAGUCUGCUUUGCUGAAUUGUGUAUACUCUUCUAAUAUUAUGAACCCUUCCAGUGCAGCAAGUAUUGCUGGACAUACUGUGAGUUUGAUUGUUUUGCUAUCCCAGAAAACCUCAAGGAAUGUAAAGAGUCAUCUCUAUCCCCACUUGAAAUCUUUUAUUUAGGUUAUACCAUGAAAGACUCAUUUCCGUGAACACAAAGGAGCACAGAGGAACAGCAAAAGCUGGGGAACCCCGACAACUAGAUCAAGAGCUAUCCUGGGAGGGACCAGCCCCAUGGACUGGGGAUGACACUCCCCAGCCUAAGUCAACGGGAGACGCUUUCCCUGGAUCACCCUACAGACUGGCUGGCAGGGUGCAGGAUCACCAUGGGGUGCAGGGGAGGAGCAUUCUGGGAUGGUACAAGACUUUUUAGGAGAUAUUGAGGGGAAGAACCAAUGGUGAGGAAAGGGAGGGAUCAAGGUGGUUUGGAGAGGAACAAGCAUGGAAAAUAGAGGGAUAAGGGGAUAAACAGAGCUGGUUGCAUGUAAACGGGGCGGGGUGGUCAGUACUCUGGUCUGGCCAUGUCCUGUGCC
rnacentral:lncRNA from 1 species